rnacentral:rRNA from 2 species
AACCAACAGGGAUUCCCCUAGUAACGGCGAGUGAAGCGGGAACAGCUCAAAUUUGAAAUCUGGCCCUUGGGUCCGAGUUGUAAUUUGCAGAGGAUGCUUUUGGUGCGGUGCCUUCCGAGUUCCCUGGAACGGGACGCCUUAGAGGGUGAGAGCCCCGUACGGUUGGCCACCAAGCCUGUGUAAAGCUCCUUCGACGAGUCGAGUAGUUUGGGAAUGCUGCUCAAAAUGGGAGGUAUAUUUCUUCUAAAGCUAAAUACUGGCCAGAGACCGAUAGCGCACAAGUAGAGUGAUCGAAAGAUGAAAAGCACUUUGAAAAGAGGGUUAAAUAGCACGUGAAAUUGUUGAAAGGGAAGGAUUUAUGACCAGACUUUUUCUAGGGGGAUCAUCCGGUGUUCUCACCGGUGCACUUCCCCUAGUUGAGGCCAGCAUCGGUUUCUGUCGGGGGAUAAAAGCUUCGGGAAUGUGGCUCCCUCCGGGGAGUGUUAUAGCCCGUUGCAUAAUACCCUGACGGGGACCGAGGUUCGCGCAUUGCAAGGAUGCUGGCGUAAUGGUUAUUAAUCACCCGUCUUGAAACACGGACCAAGGAGUCGAACAUUUGUGCGAGUGUUUGGGUGUUAAACCCUCACGCGUAAUGAAAGUGAACGGAGGUGAGAGCCCCUCGGGGUGCAUCAUCGACCGAUCCUGAUGUCUUCGGAUGGAUUUGAGUAAGAGCAUAACUGUUCGGACCCGAAAGAUGGUGAACUAUGCGUGGAUAGGGUGAAGCCAGAGGAAACUCUGGUGGAGGCUCGCAGCGGUUCUGACGUGCAAAUCGAUCGUCAAAUCUGCGCAUGGGGGCGAAAGACUAAUCGAACCAU